UAAGACCUUUAAACUUUUUGCACUUUGUAACAAAGCCUUUUGUGGAUUGAGUUUUGUUUAGGCUAAGUGAUAAAGCUGUUUGGACCAAUUGAUGAGGGUCUUGUUGGAUUGUUGUUGCAUAGACAGAGAGAGAUUCAACACAAAGUGUUGGGUAUGAUGUUGUGCUACAUGAGGAUUUGAUGAAGUUUGUUGGUGUUGAAGUUGCAAUAGAGAGGAGAGUUAAGAGAAGGAAAAGAAGGACAUUUGUUGCCAUGGUGGUUGAGAUUUAGUUAGAGAGAAAAACACUAGAUUUUGUUGUGGUUAGUUAUAUGACUUGUGAGAAUGAGAAUAUGGAUCGAGAUAUUAUAUAGAUAUAGAUGAGGGAUGGGAAUGUGAGUCAAUAUAGUUCACAUACCAUGUCAUAUGCCUAACUUACCAUAACAUAUGCCUAACUCUAUGUGGUAGGGUCAAUAUAUUACUUUCUUUUUUUUUAGAGAAAUAUUACUUUUGUUUUAUAACAAGGAAAAUAAUAGAGUACUUUUGCAAAUCGUGUGUUUAAACGUAAACUCGUUUGACUUUACGUUUUUAAGUAUUAAAAUUGUGUAAAUUUAAACGUAAACUCAUUUUUUGGUAAAUUAGAAAGUUGAUCGAAUUUCACCAAGUUAACAUGGUUUAAAAUCGAUAAAAUCGGAUAAACUCGUCCAAGUUUGCGAGUUUACCUUUUAAAAACACAAUUUUUUUGUUUGUUUUGGGACAGUUUUCAAUUAAAAUUCAAUUCAUUUUUAUAGGGCAACCCAAUAUCACAAUGUUAUGAUCGCGCGACACUUCUUUUUUUCUUCUCAAAAACAUACAACAAAAUUUUGCUCUUCUCUUCUCCUUCAUCAUCGUUCUCCAAACUUUGAUCCUAACUUUCUUCUCAAAAUCGAUUCCAAUGUCGGAGAUUGUGAUGUCGGAGAUUUUGAAUAGUUUUAUUAACAACUUUAGACACUUGUAAACUUGCUUUUGUGGAUGGCUUAGAGACUUAUGAAACUUAUGAUUUUGUGCGUUAAUUUUUGUAUUUUGAUGCUAAGUUAAGCAUAAUAUUUUAUAAUGAUAGUUUGUUAUAAUUUACCUUUGUAAGUAUGUCAUAUUUUACAUUAUUGACCUAUUUACAAUAUUAUAUUAGGUUAUAUAUUUCAUGCAUAUAAUAAAUUUUACAUAAUUUUCAUUUUAGAUAAACUCGUACGAGUUUUCGAGUCGAAUUUACCUUAACAAAACGAAUUGAGAUAAACUUUCAAGUUGCAAAACUUAAUUUCUUUAGAGUAUAAAAAUGUCUCAAUAUUUUUUUAUUGAUUGAUGAGGAUAGGCACACUAUCACGGAAACUGUUGGCGCUAUGUUCUGUUAUCACAAACAUGGUAUGGGCAAUCAAAUAAUUAAGGCUAUAAUAUGCUUUUAGUUCCGAUAAAUAUAGCGAGUUUGAAUUUUAGUCCCUAGUAAAAACAAAAAAUUAAAAUCAUUCCUGCAAAAUUCUCUAUUUUUUAAAAAAGUCGUUGGCUCCACUUUUCAGCUUAUUUAGCACAUUUUUAUCUAGAUGGCAGAUGAUGAUUGUACAAUCAAGUACAUAUGGCAUACAAAUGGCAAUUAUUUUAUUUCAACUACUUAAAAACAUUUAGAAAAAAUCAGAAAAUAUAUUUAUGAAAUAAAAAAAGUUUAUUUUAAUAAUUUAUUAAAAACAACAUAUCCCUUCUACUUCACCCUCCUCUUCUUAUUCGCAGAUCUCUUCUGCAUUCCUCUUCUUCUUCACCUUCCAUUCAAUCAUAUUCAUCGAUUAAUCUUUCUUCAAAUCAAAAUUUUAGAAAACGAAAUUCAUCUUCUUCAAAUUAAAAUUCUUUUGUUCGCAAAUUCAUCCAAAUCCAAAUUAUGGAGACACUGUGUGGGACGAAAUACAGUGUUGGUCGAAAUCGAAAAAGAGGAUGAAGUACAAAGAGGUUGAAAUCGAAAUCGAAAUAAAAAUUAUAGAAACACAUGAUUGAGGAUGAAUUGAACAUCUGAUGUCUACAUCGAAAAAGAGGAAGAAAGGGGAAAAAUCUAAAACCCUAUAAUUUUCCCAUUUUCUGAUUUUGGGUUUGUGAUGAAGUUCUUGAUGAAUUUUUGGGGUUGGGAUUGAGUUUGGGAUGAAGUUCAUGAUAAAACACAACUGUUCUACCAUUUUUCAUUUAAACUCAAAAUCUAAUAAACGAACGUCUCUUUCUCAUGCAAAUCUUAGAAUUUAACAAUGAUUUGUUUGCACUGAAAAACAAAGUUGUCGACGUAUAACAGUUUUUUUUUUUUGUUUUUUGGGGCCGACGUAUAACAAAGUUGUCCACACAUAUAUCUUAAUGUGAUCGAAAAAUCCCAAAUAAUACAAUAGAUUUGUAAUUAAGUUCUAUGCUUUUUAACGAGAUGAUUGAUGGGUUUGGAUUAUUAUCCAAAAUAAAUUAAAAAAUAAAAUAUCCUGUUCUGUGAUGACCCACUUGGCAAAAUUAUUUUAACACUCGCAAAUCAUGCAGCGACAUGGUCCCUUGUAUUAUUUUCAACCGACAUUAGCAUAGUACGAUAUAAAUCAGCUUUCGUUAAAUUAAUAGUAUUACUUUACUUUUGAUGAACAAAAGAGGCUUUACCCAAAGCAAGAUAUAUCAAUUAUGAAGUGUUAUUUGAACAACUAUUUUAUGGGACAACACGUAGGAUUAUCAAAAUAUAUAAAGAAAUAUAGUUAUUGAACCAAAAACUAAAAUAAUGUAGAGAGAAAGUGAAAAAUCUAUGUAAAUAUGAGAGAUAAAGUUGUAUAAAAAUUAUUAUAAAAUGGUUGUUCAAAUAUCAUUUAUUUAUUCAAAUACAAACUAAUCCAAAUUAAAUCCGUAAAAUAAUCAAAAAAUUGAAAACAGUACAAAAUCAAAUAUUAUUAGAUAUGUUUGUAUAUUUUAUAAAAAUCAUUCAUAUUAGAUCAGAAUUUAGAUUUAUUUUUCAAAACAGAAUCAAACUAAACCGAAUCACAUACAUGUAUUUUAAUGUCUAUUUCUAAUUUUUAUAAGUAUGAUAUAUUACAUUAAGCUAUUACUUUUUUCCUUUUUAACUCUUUUAACUCUACAUAUUAGUUUAAUUUAAUCUAUUUUAUUAUUAUUUCAUAUGUUUCAAAGAUAAUUGAUAAUUGUUAUUCCGUAGAAUUAAUUUUUAAUAAAUAAUAUAUUAUAUUACCAUAGUUAUAAACUUAGUUAAAAUAGAAGUUUGCAUGCAGCAGAAUGUUACAUCUUUGAAUAGCUUUAUGGAGAACAAGUGGUCAAAGGGAUUUUUAACACAAUCAUCCUAGUUAACAUAGGGAUCCUACUUUCUCAAGAUUAACAACUACUCCCUCCGUCCCAAAUUAUAUGACGUUUUGGAUAGGGGUGUACAUGGGUUGGGUUAAUCCGGAAAACCCGGUCAAACCCACCCAAAGAAAACCAAAAAAAUGGGUUGGGCCGGGUAAAUGGGUGAAUGUGGUUUUAAAAAUUGAUAUACCCAUAAAAUAAAAUGGGUUCCGGGUAAAACCGGACCCAAACCCAAAAACCCAUUUUAACCCGGAAGAUGAGCAAUCAAUACAUAUAUUCCAAUUUUUCUCAAACGUUAAUACUGAAAUUUUUUUUUCUUCUCAAGGAGCAUUGAUACUAUACACAUUCCAAUUUCAUAAGUUCAGUUUCCAAAUAGUGUUCACCGAUACAUAUUUCAUUUUGCCAAUUUUCAAUUCAAUGUUCAAUUCAAUAUAUAAAGAGACCAACAUUAACCAACCAGUAAACCCAUCUACCAAAAUCAAACUCAUUCGUUCCAGCAAUAACAUACUAUUUAUGAAAGAUUCAUUUCACACAUUGCAUAACAAUAAUUUCUCGUUCCAGCAUACCAUUUUUCUUAAUCCAUAGUUGUUUUGCAUCAUCAAAGUAAGCUUGCUUCUUGUGGCUAAAUUGACAGUACCAUAUCUAACUCAUGUUCAUUUCUUUUUUUAGUUUGCACAAAAGGUGCUUGAUGAAAUGUCUACUUCAUAUCAAUAUUUUUUAAUGUUUAUUUAUAGUAUCUACUUAUAAGUUAGAAUUGAAAAAUACUUUAAUAGUUUGAUUUUUCGAUUCUCUUUUAUUUUAAUACUGUUGUACAUGAUUGUUAAUGCAGGAGAACAUGGAUGUUGAUGAUGUUCCUACAAAUGCUGUGGAAAAUCCAAUUGAUGUUGAUUCUGAUCAUGACUUACAAGGUGAAGCGGCAGGUGACGUCGGAAAAAAUCGUAAGCGUUCUCGUGCUUGGGAUCAUUUUGUACCAGACGGUAAAAGGGCAAAGUGUAUUUACUGUAAUAUGACGUAUGCUGCUGAAGGUAAUACACAUGGAACCACAAAUCUCAAUAAACACUAUAAGAAAUGCCCCAAGAAUCCAAACAGGGUAAUUGACAAGGCACAAAAAACCCUUGUACUUGGGAAGCAAGUAGAGGGUGAUAGUAAUGUCUCUUUUAAGCUUGUUGAAUUUAAUCAAUUAGAGUGUAGAAUGGAGCUUGCUAAGAUGAUUAUCAUUGAUGAACUUCCCUUUAAACAUGUUGAAGGUGUUGGAUUUAAAGGUUUUAUGAGUCGUGCUCAACCUCGUUUGAAAAUUCCUAGUCGUGUCACUGUUGCUAAAGAUUGUAUGGAAUUAUAUAAGGAAGAAAAAGUGAUCUUAAGAUCUUUGUUGUCUCUCAACCAGCAAAUGGUGUCAUUGACCACUGAUACGUGGACCUCAAUUCAGAACAUGAAUUACAUGUGUGUGACAGGUCAUUUCAUUGAUGAAGGGUGGGAAUUACAAAAAAAGAUUUUAGGCUUUGGGUUAAUUGCUAACCAUAGGGGUGACACCAUAGGUAAAGCCUUAGAAAAAUGCUUGAAAGAUUGGGGAAUUACUAAACUGUGCACAGUUACAGUAGAUAAUGCUAGCUCUAAUAAUGUUGCUCUAUCUUAUUUGACUAGAAAUAUGAGUGCUUGGAAUGGAAAUACCUUGCUUAAAGGGGAGUAUAUGCAUCUGCGGUGUUGUGCCCAUAUCUUGAAUUUGAUUGUUUUUGAUGGAUUAUCUCUUAUAGAUUCAUCCAUUUCUAAGAUCAGGGCUGCUUGCAAGCAUGUUAAGUCAUCUCCUUCUAGAUUGGCAUUGUUUAAAGUGUGUGUGAAAGAUGCAAACAUUUCUAGCUCACAAAAGGUAGUAAUUGAUGUAGCAACAAGAUGGAAUACCACAUAUUUAAUGUUGGAGGUAGCUUCUAAAUAUGAAGAGGCAUUCAACCGCUUGGAGGGUGAAGAUCCUUCAUAUGUGUCUGAACUUGAGGUCGUAGGAGGAACUCCAACUGUGUAUGAUUGGAACCGUGCCCGUGUGUUUAUCAAUUUUCUGAAGAUAUUUUAUGAUGCUACCCUAACUUUUUCCUCUUCUUUACAUAUAAGUGCUAACUGUUUCUUUAGAAAGUUGGUGAAGAUUCAUACUGCACUGUCAUCAUGGAUUCAAGGUGAAGAUGUUGUGUUGAAAAACAUGGCAUUGACUAUGAAAGCUAAAUUUGAAAAGUAUUGGAGUGAUGAGAAUAUCAAUUAUCUGUUGUUUGUAGCUGUUUAUCUUGAUCCUAGGUACAAGAUGGAGUAUCUUGAUUUUUGUUUUGGUUGGAUGUAUGGGGUGGAAAAGGCUAAAAUGAUAAUUGCUAAACUGCAUGAACUCAUAGGCAAAUUGUUUGAUUAUUACAAGUCAGUGCAGCCUAUUGGUUUUGUUUCUAGUGAUUCCUCCUCUAGCUCCACUAAUACAAUGCAAAGUGAUGUUGUUACUUUCGGUGUUGGAGGUAAUGUGGAUAUGGAUGCUUUGCACCGAAGAAGGGUUAAAAGAAGGCAAAGUGAACAUAACUCAAGUGAGUUGGUAAGAUACUUAGAAGAUGAGGUUGAAGAUGAUUAUGAAGGAUUUGAACAUUUGAAAUGGUGGAAAAGUAAGAGCACAAAGUACAUUGUUCUUUCUCUCAUAGCUAGGGAUAUAUUAUCGAUUCCGAUAUCUACUGUUUCUUCUGAGUCUGCCUUUAGCACUGGAGGUCGUGUUAUUGAUCCAUACCGUAGUUCUUUGAAAGCUGAAACAGUUGAGGCUUUGAUCUGUACUCAAAAUUGGAUCAAGCCUGUCACAAGGUCUGUUUUAGAUGAAAGUAAAGCAUUUGAUGUGCUGGAAUUUGAAACAGGUAUUAAUUGUUUCUUAGCUUUUAUCUUUUUAUUUUAUCUUUUAGUUUUAUUCUUACAUUGUUUAUUUUUUUAUGUCAUUAGAAAUGUCAUAUUUGAAUGGUCUCGAGGAGUUUGCAGCUGAAUCCCUUGACGAGUAACUAGGUAAAAAUCUAAUACCAUUGUUUCAUGUUUAUACUAAUUUUGUCUUGUGUGAUUGGUGUUCCUGUUGUUGAUGGGGUAGUCUAUUUCCUGUUGUUGAUGAAGUUUACGUUUUUUAGUUGCAUACUACUACUAUGUGUUUUUCUUAUGUGCCUUCAAUUAGAGCCUGACUUACAUAUUAAUGAAGGUUGUUUGUCACUGUCAUGAUGUCCUGGCAGGUUUAGCAACUUGGGUUAUAUUGAGUGAUCUUUUGAAUUGGGAUUACACAUGUUUGUCUUAAUUUUUCAUUAACAUUUCAGAUUUUUCUUGCUCAUUAUUAUGUAAUGUAGUGCUGAGAUUUUCACAAUGGAUAAAUGUAUAUGUUUCUUGCUGCAUACUUUUGAACUCCAAUCUAUGACAUAAUUAUCACUUAUGUAGUAUUUAUGACAUGCAUACUUUUGAACUCCAAAUUGGUAGUCUAUGAACUAAUGCUUUAAUUUUUAUUAUCACAGUUUGGUGGAGAUGGAGAAUAUAAACGAUGAAGUCAGGACUCUUUUGAAUUGUGGGGAAUGUUAAUGAUGACAUCAAGACUCGUUUCUUGUUAUGUUUUGGGCUCUUUUUUGUAUUUGAUGAGACAUGAUUUUGGUUUAUUUUGACUUGGUUGUUGCAAUUUGUCUCUUGAACAUUUGUUGUUUUCUUUUGCCAAGACUUUAGCUAAUUUAAGAUGAUGCACUCUUUGAGUAUUUUUAUUCUAAUGCAAUUUUAUGUUAUGCAAUGUCUUUAAAUUUUUGAGUUAUUUUUAUGAAAAAAUUAUGAUGACUUGUCAUUUGGUUUAAUACUACAAAAAAAAAGAAGCAAAAAUUAAUUCGGGUAACCCACUACCCAACCCAAUCCAACCCGGAAAUUAGUGGGUUUACCCAAACCGGCCCAAUAGUUUAACGGAUGGACAUUUUAUCUCACCCAAACCGGAGUACCUUAUAUGGUUUGGGUUUUGGAUUUGGCCAAACCCAACCUAAACCGGCCCACUUACACCCCUAGUUUUGGGCAUUUCACACAUAUUAAGAAAUACAAUUAAUAUUGUGUGGAAAAGAGAUAUUAUGAGUUGUUUUACAAAAUUGUCCUUAAUAAAUAAUAUGGGAAAGAUAAAUGAAAGAAUUGAAAGAAAAGAGAGUAAUAAAUAGCUAAGGUUAUAAUAGGAAAAGUAACAUUAAUGUUGCAUUGGUAUUGUAAAGCGACGUAUAAUUUAGGACAAAUAUUUUUCCCUAAAGCGACAUAUAAUUUGGGACGGAGGGAGUAGUAACUAAAUUAACUACGCAACAUUAUAUUCUAAAAGUUGUUGAUCUGAAAUUCUUGGUCAUGUUGUUAAACAUUUUGAAGCCAAUAGUUACUUCAAAUAUACAUUGUAAUGCAUGAUUAAUUUUUUAAAUUUUAUUUAAAUUUUUAUGUGAACUAAAUAAAAGUUCUUAUAAAUUUUUCCGCACUUGAGAAAAAUUAGUUUAAGUUCUUCUGAAAAUGAAGUGUUACGCUAGUAAAACGGCUAUAGUCAAAAUCAGGAAUUGUACCACAAAGACAGUCUAAGGCAUUGUCAAAAUCAGAGUCCUUACCACUUAUCCAAAGCCUCUACUGGCAAGUACAUUCCUAACUCACCAACCAUAGAUAAAGAAGUCAACCUCCAUUAAAGAUCCCUACAUAUAAAACCACCACUAACCACAAUGUCUUUAUGGUGAACUCCUCGAUAAAACCUUUAUCUAAACUAACAUCCUCUUUGAGCAAAUUCUCCCACAACAACAUGUCCUAAAGGAACGACAACCCACGAUACUUAUUACCAUCACAUGAAGGUUAAAAGAUCGUCGACUAUCGAUUAUUCCAUUCAAAGCCCAAUCUUGGUCCGGACCUCCAAAUAAUGUCUAGUGCUUUGGCCACCUCCUCUAAAUCCUUUACAAUAGUCUCAUCAUCAAGAUACCAAGCAUUAAGAAGAAACUUGCAACUGUAUAUGAUAUUUUUGUGAAAGUGAAUCAAAAUUGGAGUUUUAAAUUUGUCAAAAUCAGUGGCCGAAUGGAGAAAUCGGGGCCUGGUUUUGACGGUGUUUUUCAGCCUUUUCUUUACGUGGAAAAUCGGUGGCUGAAGAGAAAAAUCAGGGCCCGAUUUUGCCACCAGAAAAUAAAACAGAAAUGUAUUUUCGGGCUUAGAUUUGUUCUAGUUUUUUGAGGGAUACUUUUACUAUAAAUAUAGAACUUGUAUCAAAAGUAAACCUUGAUGUAGAGAGUCUGAAAAUAAGGGUUUAGAAGUUAACAAGAAAACUAGUGUUUGUAUAUAGUUUGCUCUUGGCAACAAACACUAGGGUUAGGAUUGAUUCACCAUGGGAAACACUAUUAGGAUUGAGUCUCUUGAUCACGGGAAGAGAUUGGGACUUUGGGUAGAAAUAGACGGGAGACUUAUUCGUGUAACCCUUUGAUAUGUCUUUUGUAAAGUUACUUUUGGAACGGAUGGCUGCUCUCUCCACCAGACUAGGUCAGUAUUAGACCGAACUGGGUAAACAAAUUUUGUGUAUUCUCUCUUUCUUUUCUCUCGAUGUUUUCUAAUUUUUUCUUGUGUUUAUAAUUGUUCCCACGUUGAUAUUGAUUGCUUGAUUAUUUUUCUCACAUCAAAUUUUUUACCUUUUAAAUUUUUUAAAAAGCAAUUAUUAAAAUUUUAAACAAAAUUGCUCCUUAAAAUCUUAAACAAAUGCUUUGGUUAUUUUAUAGCUGAUGUUCCUCCAUGUUGCUUUAAAAUGGCCGAUGUGGGACAGUAUUAAAAUGUUAGUUUGAAAGCUUAAACUAGAGAAGUAUUUUACAACAUUCUUGGUUUUACCAUUCAUUCAAAAUACUCUUCCACUUCCAUAUAUAUAUAUAUAGACACGCUGUCGAACCAACCCAUAAAUCAAUCGAGUCGAACUAUAUACAACUCAAGUUCAGCUUAUUUAUUUAACAUACAAAAUUUUCAGCUUAAGUUCAACUCAUUUGGUUCAUGAACCAAGUUCAACAAGAUAAUUGUUGAAUCGAAUUCUGAACUAUUGUCGAGUUGGUUCGGUUCAUUACAAACCAAGCCACACAUAAUUGUUAAACUAAUAUUAGGAUUCCUAAUAUUACAUCCAUGGAUUCAGAAAUUAAGAUGAGUAGUAACAGCAAAGGUGCAAACAAGAAAAUCAUACAUAAAUAGUAAACACUAUUUCACAAUUCAAAACUAUCACAAAGUUCCAUAUUCAAUAUAUAUAUAGAUGUAAUUACACAUUACACACACCAAAUCACAUAAAACAAAAAAGGAACCACAAUUAAGUGUUUCUUAACAAUCUCAAAAGAAAAAACUUUGAUUCCUAGUGUUCAAUUUCUCUCUAGUGCUUAGUAGCAUAUUGAUUAAUAAGUGAAAGAGCAUUACUAGUAACUUGAGCAACAUUAACCAUUCUUGAUCUAAUAGAGGCUUUCAUUCUUCCAUCAAGUGCUUUUCCACCAAAUCCAUCACUACAAGUGCUUUCAUCAGUCAAAGCUGAGCUAACCCAUGUCUCAACAUUGCUUAUAUGCCAACUGAAAUCCUCACCUUGGAUCUUGCAAAGUUUAAGCUCUUUUAGUGAACGGCUAAGCCUAUCAACACUAUCAGUGAUUUCUUCAACACAAUCAUGAAGAGCAGCAUAUUCUCUUGGUUUAAGACCUUUGAAACUUUUGCACUUUGUAACAAAGCCUUUAGUGGAUUGAGUUUUGUUCAGGCUAAGUGAUAAAGCUGUUUGGACCAAUUGAUGAGGGUCUUGUUGGAUUGUUGUUGCAUAGACAGAGAGAGAUUCAACACAAAGUGUUGGGUAUGAUGUUGUGCUACAUGAGGAUUUGAUGAAGUUUGUUGGUGUUGAAGUUGCAAUAGAGAGGAGAGUCAAGAAAAGGAAAACAAGGGUAAACUUUGUUGCCAUGUUUGAUUUUGAGGGUUUAGAGGAAAACACAAGAUUUUGUUUUGUG
rnacentral:lncRNA from 1 species